GACUCCUACGGGAGCUGGGCUCCGUCCCCAACUUCAACCGCAGGGAAGACUCUGCCUGGACUCCUACGGGAGCGAGGCUCUGUCACCAACUUCAACUGCUGGUAAGCUCCGCUCGGACUCCUACGGGAGCCGGACUUCGCCUCUGACUUUAAUUACAGGUAGACUCUGACCGGACUCCUACGGGAGCCAGAUCUCGCUAGCUGC
rnacentral:lncRNA from 1 species